rnacentral:rRNA from 1 species
GAUGAACGCUGGCGGCGUGCCUAAUACAUGCAAGUCGAGCGAAUGGAUUAAGAGCUUGCUCUUAUGAAGUUAGCGGCGGACGGGUGAGUAACACGUGGGUAACCUGCCCAUAAGACUGGGAUAACUCCGGGAAACCGGGGCUAAUACCGGAUAACAUUUUGAACCGCAUGGUUCGAAAUUGAAAGGCGGCUUCGGCUGUCACUUAUGGAUGGACCCGCGUCGCAUUAGCUAGUUGGUGAGGUAACGGCUCACCAAGGCAACGAUGCGUAGCCGACCUGAGGGGGUGAUCGGCCACACUGGGACUGAGACCCGGCCCAGACUCAUACCGGAGGCAGCAGUAGGGAAUCUUCCGCAAUGGACGAAAGUCUGACGGAGCAACGCCGCGUGAGUGAUGAAGGCUUUCGGGUCGUAAAACUCUGUUGUUAGGGAAGAACAAGUGCUAGUUGAAUAAGCUGGCACCUUGACGGUACCUAACCAGAAAGCCACGGCUAACUACGUGCCAGCCGCCGCGGUAA